UCUCUAUCAGAGCACAGCUGCUUCACCCCUAAGUAUACGCCUAGAGGCCACAUGAAACAUACUCCCUGUCUGCUCACAGUAUGUGUUCUCCAGGAGCAAAGCUUUGUUGCUCUGAGAGCUAUUUUUGACUUUAAAGACCGAACAGGAGAUGCAUUGUGAGACAAGCAGGUUGGUAAAGUAUAUCGUGUAUAUCGAUGGCAUCCUGGUCUACUCGGCUGCCUUGGAGGAUCACAUCGCUCAAGUCCGAGUUGUCCUGGAACGCUUCCUGGCUAACCACCUGUUUGUCAAGGCUGAGAAGUGCCAGUCAUCAGGAGGCCGUCUCCUUCCUAGGCUACCAAAUCAGCAUACAAGGAGUGAAGAUGGAUGUCAAGAAGGUAGAUACGGUCAGGUCAUGGCCAGUCCCAAUCACCAUAAAGGGGUUACAAUGGUUUUGGGGUCACCUUUAUGGGGUCAUCAGGAACUUCAGCUCCAUCGCUGCUCCUCUCACCUCUCUCCUCAAGGGUAGUCCCCGUAGGUUUGUGUGGAGUCCAGCAGCCGACGAGGCCCUCAGUCUACUUUAGGGACGUUUCACCUCCCCCCCAUUGCUCAAACACCCAGAUCCCACAAUAUCAUUUGUUGUGGAGGUGGACGCUUCAGAUGUGGGCGUGGGGGCAGUUCUGUCUCAAAGACAAGGUAAUCCAGAGAGAUUGUACCAGUGUGCAUAUUACUCUAAGAAACUGUCCCCUGCAGAGAGGAAUGAUGAUGUCGGUGAUCAAGAGCUCCUGGCUGUGAAGUUGGCUCCAAGGACCCAUUCAUCAUCCUCACUGACCAUCGGAAUCUGGAGUACUUACGGACAGCGAAGAGGCUGAAUCCGCGCCAAGCAAGAUGUGGAUAUCCGCCAGGCUCUGGAGAGGGAGCCCACACCCACUACCUGUCCUGAGUGCAUCUACGUUCUCACGGGGAUCGGCUGCUGACCUGGGAGCACACAGCUGUCGUCGUUGGACAUCCAGGUCGCUGAGUCAUUAUGGCCUUCCGGAGGACAUCAUCUCCAACCGUGGGCCCAAAUUCACAUCACGGGCAUGGAGAGCCUUUAUGGAGAAGCUCAUGGUCACGGUCAGCUUCACUUCCGGGUAUAGGCCUCAGUCCAACAGGCAGGUGUAGAGGAGGAACCAGGAGCUGGGGAGGUUCCUGAGGAGUCACUGCCAGGACCGGCAGGGAGAAUGUCAUGUCUACUCCCGCUCCUCCCCUCCAGCGUUCGAGCUCGCCGGUUUACUAACCACCAGUCCUGGGAAGCAUCAUCCCGCGCACGUGCACUUCAUCAUUACGCACACCUGGACUCCAUUUCCUCCCCUUUAUCUGACACUCCCUUAGUUUCUUUCCCCAGGCAGUAUUGUUUUCUGUUGUUCAUAUCUAGAUGCUACUCCUAUGUUGUAUCAUUACAUGUUUCUUGUUAUAUUAAUCUUACUACCUGCUUCUUGACUCCCAGAGUCUACAUUACAGUAGAUUAAAAUCAAAACUGUAAUCUGGCCACUCAGGAAUUCACUGUAAAUAACUCCAGUACAGAUUUGGCUUUGUGUUUUAGGUUAUUGCCCUGCUGAAAGGAGAAUUCAUCUCCCAGUAUCUAGUGGUAAGCAGACAACUAGAUUUUGCCUGUGCUUAGCUCCAUUCCGUAAUUUUUUUAAAUCCUGAAAUACUCCCCAGUACUUAACGAUUACAAGCAUACCCAUAACAUGAUGCAGCCACCACUGUGCUUGAAAACAUAGAGUGUGGUACUCAGUAAUGGAUUUGCCUCAAAAAUAACACUUUGUCUUCAGGACAAAAAGUGAAUUCCUUUGCCACAUUUUUGCAGUAUUAGUGCUUUGUUGCAAACAGGAUGCAUGUUUUGGAAUAUGUUUUAUUAUGUACAGGCUUCCUUCUUUUAACUCUGCAGUUACUCCACAAUACUAACAUAAUUGACAAUGUUGCUGUCAGUUUUCUCCUACCACAGCCAUUAAACUCUGUAACUGUCUCACCGGUUACUAGGAGUGGUGGGUAGGAGUCAGGUGCAGAGAGCAGAGGAUUCAGUGAUUAGUAAUAUUUAUGUGCAAGAAUAGUGUUUAACAUGAUUUUUUUAUGACUACCUCAUCUCUCAUCUCAAAUAAUGCGCGGGGUAAAAAAAUAAAUAAUCUUAAACACUAUUCUUGCACAUAGAGUGAGUCCAUACAACUUAUUAUGUGACAUGUUAAGCACAUUUUUACUCCUGAAUUUACAAGAUAUUUUAGCUUUUCAUUUUUUCUUAAUUUGUAAAAAUGUCUAAAACCAUAAUACCAAAUUGACAUUAUGGGGUAUUGUGUGUAGGCCAGUGACCAAAAAUCUCAGUUUAAUUCAUUUUAAAUUUAGGCUGUAACACAACACAAUGUGUGAAUACUUCCUGAAAGCACUCUAUACCACUACCUAUUCCAGUAUGUAUACCAGCAUCUACAAUAUACCACUACCUGUACCAUGAUCUACACCAGCAUCUAUACCAGCAUCUACAGUAUAUCACUAUCUAUACCACUAUCUAUACCAACAUCUACAGUAUACCACUAUCUAUACCAGCAUCUAUAUCGGCAUCUACAGUAUAUUACUAUCUAUACCACUAUCUAUAAAAGCAUCUACAGUAUAUUACUAUCUAUACCACUAUCUAGAGCUCUAUCUAUAAAGGCAUCUACAGUAUAUCAGUAUCUAUACCACUAUCUAUAUCACUAUCUAUACCUCCAUCUACAGUAUAUUACUAUCUACACAACCAUCUAUACCUCAAUCUAC
ensembl:lncRNA